UACGGAGGGGACUAGCGUUGUUCGGAAUUACUGGGCGUAAAGCGUGCGCAGGCGGUUUUGUAAGUCUGAUGUGAAAUCCCCGGGCUCAACCUGGGAAUUGCAUUGGAGACUGCAAGGCUAGAAUCUGGCAGAGGGGGGUAGAAUUCCACGUGUAGCAGUGAAAUGCGUAGAGAUGUGGAGGAACACCGAUGGCGAAGGCAGCCCCCUGGGUCAAGAUUGACGCUCAUGCACGAAAGCGUGGGGAGCAAACAGG
rnacentral:rRNA from 1 species